AUCCUUUGCAACAAACACACAGGGCAUGGAAGAUGUGCUGAUUGGUGUUUCUAUACAAUUAAUCCCAUAUGGGGAAUUAACUUUCAAAUACUAAUGAAGUGACUUUUUGUCUCAGUUAUAAAAUAUACUGAGCUCAUCAUGCAAACAAUGCAACACAUUUACACUAUCCCACUCUCAUAAUAAGUGUAGUGGGCUUAUAGUAUUUUUAAAGCAACAAUCAUUCCAGGCA